GCAACCAAUUGAUGUGUCUCUCUCACAUCGAUGUUUCUCUCUACCUCUCCCCCGCUCCCUUCCACUCUUUCUAAAAAUCAAUAGGAAAAAUAUCUUCCGGUGAGAAUUAACAACAAAAAUUAAUAUUUGGUUUGCCUGUUAGGAGGUAUGGGUAUGGGGUGCAGAGCAGUGCUGGGUGAGACAUUAAGACUAUCCCACUCAGCAGCCCACACAGGGCCUUUGGAAGCUAGUGCCUAGUGCAUUGUGAAAGGCAUGGAAGAUCAUCCCCUGCCCCAGCUGGAAGAACUUCAGUUAAGAACUGGGAUCUGAGGGAGAACUGGGGAACAGAUCUCCAUUCAGAAAUCAAAAAUGAAUGAGAAUGCUUCGUGUGAGCAGAAACAGAUGUUGAAAGACAUGGCUGAGUCAGGCUGUGCCACAAGCACCGGCCAAAUUCAUCUGGUGCAUCCCUGACCCAACUAAUUCUUCUUUUUCUGUGCCUGGAUCCUUGAACCAAGCUUCUUCAGGUCUAAAUACAAGUUCCGCUUGAGGAUGGCACUGCUGCACAGGAGGGCCGCGUGUAUGGCCCCCAUCAACCCGCAGAUGAAGAUGUCUUGGCCUAGGAGACAAGGCAGAGACCCAUGAGCAGCCCCAAGUGAGAGAGAGGGCGAGGGCUCUCGUGUCCAUCCCUCGGUGCUGGGGUCACCCAGGGGCAGCUGCAGAUCAAGCCUGCAGGUGUGGGAGCUGCAGGGGCAGAAAGUCCUGAGGACAAGAACAGGACUGUGGGUGAUAUGGAGGCCGAAGGGCACAACUCCUGGCAAAAUGGGGCUGUCAGUGUACCUGUCAGGUAGAGGUUGGGGAUGGGGCUUUGGGCCCUGAUGGAGGCUAUGGCAUGGGGAUGCAAGCGGUCCAGGUUGUGGUCAGCCCCAUAGCAGGCUCCCUGGAAAGCAGCCAGGUAGAACUGAUUGGACAGCGGGGAUCCUCCGGCCACACUGUCCACCUAAGAGGAAAAAAGAGCCACAGGGUGGGAGUGAGACCUUGUGAGAUGUUCAUCUUUCCUCUUCUGCUCUCCUUGAAUGAGUUGAUGGUCUGCAUGGGUUCCCUGCCUUCCCCAGAGCUCAGAAGGAGAAAAAUGGUACAUCAUGUGGUCUACCUACCUUUCCCUCGAGCUGUGGGAACAUCUUCAGGACAAUCGACAGCGAGGCUUCAACGAAGGAGGACUUGAGGUUCUCAUAGUCGCUGC